rnacentral:rRNA from 2 species
AGAGCACUGUCACGAGGUGGUGCAUGGCUGUCGUCAGCUCGUGUCGUGAGAUUGGUUGGGUUAAGUCCCGCAACGAGCGCAACCCUUGUCUUUAGUUGCCAUCAUUUAGUUGGGCACUCUAGAGAGACUGCCGAGGAUAACUCGGAGGAAGGUGGGAUGACGUCAAAUCAUCAUGCCCCUUAUGUUCUGGGCUACACACGUGCUACAAUGGCUGGUACAAAGAGACGCAAGACGGUGACGUGGAGCAAAUCUCAAAAACCAGUCCCAGUUCGGAUUGUAGGCUGCAACUCGCCUACAUGAAGUUGGAGUUGCUAGUAAUCGCAGAUCAGAAUGCUGCGGUGAAUGCGUUCCCGGGUCUU